CCACCCCACCCCCUACCUCCAGACCUCCCCAACUCCUCGCCUCCCCACCUCGCUGCCUCUUGGCGUCAGCGAAGGCUCUGCUGCCUGCAGGGCAGAGAGGAGAGGGAGGAGGCCAGCGAGAGGGAGCCUCUGUCGGGGCGUGGGAGGAAAGCAAGAUAACGCAGGCGACCCGAGAAGGACGGUGAAUCUGACUGGCCAGACUGGGAAGUAGGCGAAGGGGAAGCAGCGAUACUGGGAAGGUCCAGGCCUUCCAGAGGCUGGGGUUCAUCUAGAGACCUGCUGAGGAGGGGCCACACUCGCCUCUUUUGCUCGCAGCAAUCUAUUCUGCCAGGGGAUUCCCUGGAACACAAGAAUCCUGGGGCUCUAAGGGACCCUAAAGAGCGUCUGGUCCUGCUCCUUCCUUCAUCCGUGACGAAACUUGGGAUGGGAAGGCUGUUCAUGCUGGGUUUCCUCUGGGAGUGAGACCUCAAGACAACUGUGGCAGUUCCUGAUAGAAACACUAAAUAAACGAGGUCCUCUGUGGCAAGGGCUAACGCUUCCAGAAGCUUCUGAAUAGAUCAUUCUAUUUGACAAACAGUUAUAAAAUGCACACUAUUACCAAACACUGUGCUAGAUGGUGGUAAGAGAAGCAUGACUAGAAUGGAAUGUUAGGCUUUUUGAAGCUUAUAAAUAAGUGGGUGAAAUUGGUCAUGAUUAACUUUGACGUAUGAUAGUGGUGGUGAGUAAUCAGGCAGAGGUUUGCCCAGAGUGCUAUAGGAGCCAGCAGCUUGGAGAUCCAGGGAGGCUUCUUACAGGAAGUGACCCUUGGUGUGGGAAGGGUUUUCCAUAAAGGGAAGACAGCAUGAGCAAAAGCUCAGAGACAUUAAUCAGCACCGAUUGAAUCAUUCAUUCAUGUCUACAAUAAUCACCACUCACUAGGUGCAAAGUAAUGUACAGAAUCUAUGCAAGCCACAUCUAGCAUAGAUAAUAAGUUAUCAUUUCUAUAAUCAAGUUGAUUCCAAU
rnacentral:lncRNA from 1 species